ensembl:lncRNA
UGUGUCACGCUCACGCGGGCCGUCCGUGAGGACGGCGUGCAGACGUCGCGCGGCCGCCAUUACCUGCCCGUCCCGGCCCGGCACGUGCGCUCGGCUCCGUCCCGCAGCCGGAAUGGGGGCGACGGCCGCGCGCUCGGCGCCGCCGCGGACAUUUUGUGGCGCUGCGCUGCGGGCGGGCGGCCGCCGACGGCACAUCCCGGAACCCGCCCUCGUAAAAUGGAUCGCCGAGUCAUCGCCGGCCGCCCGUCUGCCUGCCUGCAGCACGCUGGCUUUUCUGCAGGAAGCCGGAAAGUACCGCAAUGGGCAUGUCCCGGUGCCUCCCAGCCGGGCGGGAGGAGACUCGAUAGCCGAGCGCGUGUAAAUCGCGGCGCGGCCCCGCAGGAAACGGCCCCGCCGUCAGCGGGCGUGGGGGGCCGCGCUGCUCGUGGCCGCCGCGAGGUUAAUGAGGUACCGUGCAGCUACUGGGUUCAGCGGGCAGCCGGAAAGCGCCGCGCUGAAAAGCCCGGAGUUUUAGGAAUAUCAUAAAGAGAUCGUUUUUGUGAUUCCAAGCCAGGCCGAGUUGUUCUGAUGUCCGCAGCAGCUGGAAGAGAAAACCAUACAACGGCUGAUGGAGUUGGCUGCAGCAAGAAAAUCACAUCUCAGUUCCCAGGAUUUCAGAAAGAUGGGCCUCCUCCGAUAGUUGCAAAUCUCUGCAAAACGUUCUGGUGCUGCUGUGCACUGGUUUGAUCAGAUCUUGGCGAUUUCCUCCUGCGUGCACUCCAUGGCUCUGCUCUUGAGGAUGGAUGAUGCUACCCGGAACUGUGUCUGAUUCAGUGUGCUGAAGGAGGAGAGAAGGGGGAUGCGGAGUUGAUCUUCAAAACUGGCCCGCGUAUUUUGGGUAACAUGUAACGUGUCACAUUUAUUCUAGGCUCACAGCAGCCUAGUUGUGAGAAAAAAAUGUGGAACCAACAUAUGGCUUAGAACUGCUAGCAAUGCAGGGCUAGCAGGAGGUACUUCUGAGGUGCUACACCAUCCACAACACUCGAAUUUUAAAUGUGAUCCGAGUGUGUCCUCUCGAGUGUGACCUGACAGUAAUUAUCGAUCAGGGUCUUCAGUCACUGCUUGAAUUCCUUAGGUCAGUUGAUUUUGAUCAACUGUUUUGUCUUUGUUUUGCUUCCCUGGGGGAAGGGGAAAGGUUGGUUGUGCUGGGAGGGAAGGAAUAGCACUGACCAUAGCACUGCAACAUGUAGCACCAACAGAUUUAUUCCUUGGAACAACAACAAAAAAAGUGGGUUUCGAAGGUUUCGAUACCCCCGAUUAAACCAAAGCUGUUCGCGAGGAAAAUGAGAACAGUUGGUGAUGCUCUCGACUACUUUCUUACAGGUCUGAGCCGUUGGCAGCACUGCUGUGCUGAUUCCCCUUCGUCUAAGCGUUCCUGACCGAUCCGUGCCUUGCCCGGAGCGGAAAGGUAAAGAGAGGUCCUUCCGUUUGUGUCGGAGAUGGCUUCUUUCCUGGGCUGGCUUUCUUUGCGGCGUAGGUACGCCGAACCCUGCCGCUUUCCAGUGCCCUUUUUCAGAAGGUUACGGGUGGAGUGGAAAGUAUACCUUCUGAUCAGAAAAGCCUUUGCAUUCUGCCAUCUCGGAUGUGUUCACAUGUGAGGUCCUUCGGUUAAGCAGGGUUUACCAGUGCUGUUUCCAGAAGUGUAAGCCCGUGGAUUUUAGGAACUGCAUCUCAGACUGUGUCCC